AUGGGUACCAAAACCAUCAUCUCCCUAGACAUCCUCCUCUGCACUCCAAUCUCAAAGACCUCCCCAUUAAUCAAAAGUUCCACCUUCAAUUUUAUUAAUUCAACGUUUGAUACGAAGAACAAAAAUAUGAAAGUUACUACAUCCACUACAAUAGCCUAUCUAAAGAGGUUACACAGGUGCAGAAGGUUAAUUCUCCCUUCCUAUCUAAUAGAACAGCAUGGAAUAUCUGUCAUACCAUCCUUUAUACACGUGAGAAGGAAAGCAAGCUUCCAAGGAAUUGAACCAUUGAGGCCACCAUAA